AAACUUAAAGGAAUUGACGGGGGCCCGCACAAGCAGUGGAGUAUGUGGUUUAAUUCGAAGCAACGCGAAGAACCUUACCAGGUCUUGACAUCGUGCGCAUAACCUAGAGAUAGGUGAAGCCCUUCGGGGCGCAUAGACAGGUGGUGCAUGGUUGUCGUCAGCUCGUGUCGUGAGAUGUUGGGUUAAGUCCCGCAACGAGCGCAACCCUUAUUACUAGUUGCUACGCAAGAGCACUCUAGUGAGACUGCCGUUGACAAAACGGAGGAAGGUGGGGAUGACGUCAAAUCAUCAUGCCCCUUAUGACCUGGGCUACACACGUACUACAAUGGCACUUUAACAGAGGGCUGCUACAUCGCGAGGUGAAGCGAAUCCCGAAAAAGUGUCUCAGUUCGGAUUGCAGGCUGCAACUCGCCUGCAUGAAGUCGGAAUUGCUAGUAAUCGCGGAUCAGCAUGCCGCGGUGAAUACGUUCCCGGGCCUUGUACACACCGCCCGUCACACCAUGGGAGUCGGUAACACCCGAAGCCAGUAGUCUAACCGCAAGGGGGACGCUGUCGAAGGUGGGAUUGAUGACUGGGGUGAAGUCGUAACAAGGUAGCCGUAUCGGAAGGUGCGGCUGGAUCACCUCCUUUAU
rnacentral:rRNA from 1 species